AUUUUAAAUGUGAUUUUUAAAUCCAAAUGAACAUCUUAAUAAAUAAUAGUGGACAAUUGCUGAGAUUUAAGGUAUAUGAACUGUUUGAUGCCCUAUUAUGAUGAAUAUUCUUUUUCAUACAUAUUGUUAAUCAUUUGCUCAACAGGUGUUUAUUCUGUGCCUGCCAGAGGAGGCUCGCCUUUGUACUGGACCUAGGGCUUGAACUGAGAAAAAUAUCAAUUUAGUUCCUGCUCUGAGAAGUGCCCAGUCUACUGAGAAGGGUGAAGAGCGCUCCUGCAAUACUCGGAGGUGUGUUUUUAUAGGUGAGCUGUUGAUUCAUCCCCUGGAGACUGUGAAUGUUUGUCCUGCAGAACUGCAUCUCCGCCUUAGAGUGCUGUUGCCCAGAAUCCUGUUUCUUCACCUGACAUUGCAAACUGUUUGUCAUAGGAGGUCAGACUAGUUCGCCAGCGUUGUGAUAAUGAACCAGUGCAGACCUCGCCGAUGCUGCUGUAAGGAACCCGAUCACUAUCAAAGGCUGUUGGUGUUCUUGGCCUAAGGAAGAUCCCUGAAGCUUCUUCCUCCUUGCGCUGAUUAGGCAAAUAAAAUAGAUAGGGGAGCCUAACCCAGUUCAUCUUUAGCACAACCCCUAAUGUCAUUGUGACCAAAGUCGGGCCACCAGGAGGAACACGGAGCCCAGGACUCCAGGUGGAAGGAACUGAAGACUGGGGGUGACAGGCCAGUACAGGAAGCAGAAGCCUCAUACAGGACUGAAGCCACAUGUAUUUCUGAUCAAAGAGGAGGAGGUGGAGGGAAAACAAAGCAAGGGAACUGGCUGGAAGGCCAGGAGCUCCCUAACACAGCACAUACAGGAUGUUUAUGGAAAGAUCGUGGAUUUCCUUAACUCUACCACAUGUAUAUAAAGGUUCCAGCUGACUUUACAUGGAUUUGAUGAACUUCAUUUAUCCAUGAAGUCACAUUGGCGAGGAACACGGUCUUCAACAUCAACUCCUUCUUUGCUAACCCUUCUACUAAUUCUUCAGCUUCCAAGCUACCACGUGCAAAUGGGCUGCAAAGACAAGUCACGAUCACAAUUUCGACAGCAUUUAUCAAUGGGGACUGUGAAACUCUCAGAUGAUGUUACCUUUCUCGAACAAUAUUGAUACUUUACCUGAUGGUGCUUGACUUGAUUUUUUUUUUUAACAUGGCAGCCAAAACACAAAUUUGCUAUUGGUAACAAUGAAGAAAUGUUUUUUAGUAGAAUUCUUCUUGGGGAGAACACUGUUUUUGAAGCAAUGUCUUGGUAAGGUCUUUUGGGAGUAUAAAGCAAAGACUAGCGACCCAAGUAUCCAUCAGUGGAUGAGCAGAUAAAUAAAAUGUAGCACGUACAUAGGAUGGCAUAUUAUGCAGCCUUAAAAAGGAAGGCCAUUCAGACACGUGCUUUCAUGUGGAUGAACCUUGAGGACACUGCUAGGUUAAAUAAGCCCAUCACAAAAAGACAAAUACUCUAUGAUUCCACUCAGAUAAGGAACUAGGGUAAACAAAUUCAUUGAGACAGAAAGUAGAAUGAAGGGGCCCCUGGGUGGCUCAGUUGGUUAAGCGCCUGCCUUCAGGUGGGGUCAUGAUCCCAGAGUCCUGGGAUCAAGCCCUGCAUCCUGCACCGAGCUCC